rnacentral:rRNA from 1 species
CCUACGGGGGGCUGCAGUGAGGAAUAUUGGUCAAUGGGCGCGAGCCUGAACCAGCCAAGUCGCGUGAGGGAGGACGGCCCUACGGGUUGUAAACCUCUUUUGCCGGGGAGCAACGGGCGUCACGUGUGGCGCCACUGAGAGUACCCGGAGAAAAAGCAUCGGCAAACCCCGUGCCAGCAGCCGCGGUAAUACGGAGGAUGCGAGGGUUAUCCGGUUUUAUUGGGUUUAAGGGGUGCGUGGGCGAUUCGUUAAGUCAGGGGUAAAAUUGAGGGGCUCAACCCCUUCCCGCCAUUGAAACUGGCGAUCUUGAGUGGAAGAGAAGUAUGCGGAAUGCGUGGUGUAGCGGUGAAAUGCAUAGAUAUCACACAGAACCCCGAUUGCGAAGGCAGCAUGCCGGCUUCCGACUGACGCUGAGGCACGAAAGCGUGGGGAUCGAACAGGAUUAGAUACCCGAGUAGUC